rnacentral:rRNA from 1 species
AUUGAACGCUGGCGGCAGGCCUAACACAUGCAAGUCGAACGAGUGGCGGACGGGUUAGUAAUGUCUGGGAAACUGCCUGAUGGAGGGGGCUAACUACUGGAAACGGUAGCUAAUACCGCAUACAAUCAGAUGUGCCCAGAUGGGAUUAGCUUGUUGGUGUGGUAACGGCUCACCAAGGCGACGAUCCCUCGCUGGUCUGAGAGGAUGACCAACAAUACGGGAACUGAGCAACGGUCCAGACUCCUACGGGAGGCAGCAGUGGGGAAUAUUGCACAAUGGGCGCAAGCCUGAUGCAGCCAUGCCGCGUGUAUGAAGAAGGCCUUCGGGUUGUAAAGUACUUUCAGCUGGGAGGCGUUACCCGCAGAAGAAGCACCGGCUAACUCCGUGCCAGCAGCCGCGGUAAUAC